CUUCUCCUUUUUGUUUGGGGUUUGGGCAGAGGGGGAAGGGAAGAGCAAUAGUAUUCACCAGGCUGCUGGUAUGCAGCUGGCAGUACCUGUAAAGCGAGGGAAGAUCAUACGGAAGCGUUACAGAGGUUUCUGCAUGGUGAUGCCCGAGAGGAGCCCUCAGCAUCACUGCGGGGAGCUGGGGAUGCUGCAUUGGGGAGCGGGGUCACGCUGCCCUCAAUGCUCUGCCCUGGGCCAGGGGGCACCGGGAAGAGAGCUGACCCCAUGCACUGCAGCCCGGCCCAGGCACGCUUCCGAAAGCGUCCUCACUACAGCGUUUGGAUGCUUGAGACUUCAAAGAUCUUCUUCUGAUGGUGAUUUUUUCUCUCUUUAAUUACUCCUUCCUCUCGCCUGUGCCUGGCUGCCUCGCAGGAUGAGUCACAGGCUGAGAAGCCUCCCGGCCCUGCACCUCUUGUCGCAGCUCUCCGUCCCCAUCCCCGCGCACCCACACCGUGCCACGGCCAACACUUCGGGGACAGCCUGUGCCUGGGUCACCAGCCUGGGGCAGCGAGGGGAAAACACACUGAGAAACGGGCCUGGAGCCGGCCAGGCUCCCGUGCUUCCCUCCUGCCAGCCUGGAAGAGGUGGGAACAGCAGCGAGGAGGGACGCAGACCCGCACCAGCCGUCCCCCUGCACGCACUUGGGUGCUGCACGGUUGUUUCUUGGACUGAAGCAGCACAGCUGCUGAAGCAGUGCCGCUGGGAGGGCAGAUUUUUGACCUGUGGGAUGUGGCAGAGCAUUUCUGAGCCGUCCCCAGGCUUUCUCCGCCA